GAGACUUUUUUGAAGGAAAGCACCAUGGCCUGGACACUGGUUUUCUUUUCACUCCUCAGUUAUUUCUCAUGCGUCACUUCACAGCCCACCUUGACUCAGCCUGCCUCCCAGUCUGGAUCUCCAGGAGGGACAACUAAAAUCUCCUGUGCCAUCAGUAGCAAUCCAAGCACCAUUUACUGGCUUCAGCAGAGAUCUGGGGAAGCCCCUCGCUUUGUGCAAUAUGAUGGUGGCAGCAGAGGAGAAGGGAUCCCAGACCGAUUCACGGCAACCCGAUCAGGCAACAAUGGCUACUUAACCAUCACCAACCUUCAGGCUGAGGAUGAGGCUGAUUAUCACUGUUACAUGUGGUAUAGCAAUACGUUCCACAGUGAGACAAUCUAA